UGCCCCCCGCCGUGGGGGGCCGGGGUUGAGGUCCCCGAGGCGGGAGCCUAGGGCAGGAAGAUGCCAAGAUGUCCAGGGACUUGCCCAAGGUCACGCAGUCCAUUCCUAACGGAGCCUAGACUGGAGCCGGGGACCUGCUCCGAGUAAAUUGGAGACAGGGGAACCCCGCUUCAAGCGUUAUGUUUCAGGUCUGGUUCGCCCCCGGGCCUCACUCUCAGCCCAACCUCUCCCGGAAGGAUCACCGGGAUCACCCUGGGGUGGGUUCAGGCCGCCCCCGAGCCCGGCUGCUGGGUCUGGGCAAGGUCUCACGGAUUUAUUUGUAAAGGAUCACGGAACGCUUCCAGCCCCAGGAGCACUUGUCACUUGGAUGGGCAACAUUCACACACAGCACAUCCUGAGGUGGCUCGGUCUGGUGGUUAGAGACCCAGGUCUCCGAAAGGAGCACUGCCUGCAAAUCCCAGCGGUUGGUGGGUGUUAGUGGACUGAGAAUUCGUGUGCCCCCACCCGCAACCCCAAUUCCUAUCCCUAAUGUGACUGUAUUUGGCAACAGGGCCUGAGAGGAGGUGAUAAAGGCUCAAUGACGUCACAAGGUUAGAGUCCUAACCCAAUAGGGCUGGUGCCCUUCUAAGAAGAGGAAGAGACACCAGAGCUCGCUUGCUCACUCUCUCUCUCCACCAGGUGAGGACGAGAAGGCAUCAGUGUGCAAACCAGGAAGAGAACUCUCCCCAGGAACCAAACUGGCUGGCACUUUGAUGGUGGACUUCCCAGCCUCCAAAACUGUGAGAGAGAAAUCUUGUUAGGCCACUCAGUCUAUGGCAUUUUGUCAUGGCCGCCUGAGACAGCAGGUUAUCCAGCUUCUCUCUGCUCCCGUUUGUUCAUCUGGAAAAUGUGGCCAAUGUUAGAUUCUAUCAUAGAUGCUGCCGUACGGAAAUGGAAGAAGAUGAGUUUGGAGAGAGUUAGACACAGUCUCUGCAUAUCUGCACCUGAAGAAAGCUGAUCAGGAAGGCCUCCUGCACCAGAGAUGGCCUUAGGUGAUGCACACACACAGAAAAGCUGGGAAGUACCCUUGGAAACUGCAAGGUGCUCAAAGCCAUGGUACGUGUCAGCACCAAGCGUGAUGAAGACCUCCCACAGGAGCUCACCAUCAGCAGCCAGGCCGCCACCCCGUCUUUCGACAAGUAAGGAAACAGGCUCAGAGAGGACAAGUGCCUUGAACAAGGCUGCACAGCAGCUGUCUGGAAUCUAUCCAAGUCAAAGGUCAUGCUUUUUCCACUAAUGCCAGGUGGCAGUCUAGCAUGGGGGGUGACAAACUACAAUCAGGGGGUGGGCUAGGGGCUUCAUGGCAGGUAGUGGAGGGACUUCCUGACAGAGGUGGCCCUGGGGGGAUCAUUAGAACCUGCUUCGACCAGAGACAGGCCUGUAGAAAGGCAGCAGAAGAAAGAAUCCACAGGUUACAAACUGGUGCCUGGUUUUUGUCUUGGGUUUAUCUUUUCCAAUUUUUAUUUUUGCCUUAGUUGCCAACUCUGAAGAAACAAGAUUUCAUGGAAAGACCCAAUGUUCAACUUUGCUGGAAAAUCGGAAGAACUGGCAACUGCAGGCAGGUGGCUCCAUGUGGCAACAGUGUGCCAGAGCUGGGUGGCGGGGGCCCUGCUCAAAGGGCAAGGCGCUUACUCUUCAGACCUGCGGCCAGCCUGUGUCACCCAGGCGCCUUCCCUGUCCCAGCUGAUAUCUGAGGUCACGGCCUGUGCAGCCAAGGCCACAGGGCUGUGAGGACAUCAUCCUCUGAGAACCUGGCCUCAGGCAAGAUGGGGGACUGGGGUGGGACCUCUGUCCCAAGUUCCCUGGGGCCCACGAUGGUCCCUGGUACCCGGCAGGGGCUCAACACACACUCAGUGAGUGAACGAAGCAAACAAGAGGGUGGGAGCCACCCUGGAAAUCCACUCCAAGAGGCAGUGUGGUGGAUAACUUGGGGAAUGGGGGCUCCGGGGUGAGACCGCUUGGUUGCGGAUGGUUGCCUCACCACUUACAGCUGUGUCAUUGGGGGAAGGGGCAUUCUUUUCCUUUCUGUGCCUUCAGGUACCUCUCCAUAAAAGGGGAAUAAGAGGACACCUGGGUGGCUCAGUGGUUGAGUGUCUGCCUUUGGCUCAGAGCGUGAUCCUGGGGUCCAGGAUCCAGUCCCACGUCGGGCUCCCUGCAGGAAGCCUGCUUCUCCCUCUGCCUGUGUC